AUUGAACGCUGGCGGCAGGCCUAACACAUGCAAGUCGAACGAGUGGCGGACGGGUGAGUAAUGUCUGUGACACUGCCCGAUGGAGGGGGAUACCUACUGGAAACGGUAGCUAAUACCGCAUACCAUCGGAUGUGCCCAGAUGGGAUUAGCUAUUAGGUGGGGUAACGGCUCACCUAGGCGACGAUCCCUAGCUGGUCUGAGAGGAUGACCAGCAAAACGGGAACGGAGACAGGGUCCAAACUCCUACGGGAGGAAGAAUUGGGGAAUAUGGCACAAGGGGCGAAAGCCUGAUGCAGCAAUGCCGCGUGUAGGAAGAAGGCCUUCGGGUUGUAAAGUACUUUCAGCGAGGAGGCGUUACUCGAAGAGGAAGCACCGGCUAACUCCGUGCCAGCAGCCGCGGUAAUUC
rnacentral:rRNA from 1 species